GAUUAACGCUGGCGGCGUGCCUAAUACAUGCAAGUCGAGCGAACAGAUGAGGAGCUUGCUCCUCUGACGUUAGUGGCGGACGGGUGAGUAACACGUGGAUAACCUACCUAUAAGACUGGGAUAACUUCGGGAAACCGGAGCUAAUACCGGAUAAUAUAUUGAACCGCAUGGUUCAAUAGUGAAAGACGGUUUUGCUGUCACUUAUAGAUGGAUCCGCGCCGCAUUAGCUAGUUGGUAAGGUAACGGCUUACCAAGGCAACGAUGCGUAGCCGACCUGAGAGGGUGAUCGGCCACACUGGAACUGAGACACGGUCCAGACUCCUACGGGAGGCAGCAGUAGGGAAUCUUCCGCAAUGGGCGAAAGCCUGACGGAGCAACGCCGCGUGAGUGAUGAAGGUCUUCGGAUCGUAAAACUCUGUUAUUAGGGAAGAACAAAUGUGUAAGUAACUAUGCACGUCUUGACGGUACCUAAUCAGAAAGCCACGGCUAACUACGUG
rnacentral:rRNA from 1 species